ensembl:antisense Gm16958 predicted gene, 16958
CAGAAACCCUUCCUUCUUCUGUGAGAAUAAUCUGGAAGACUGGAGAACCCGGCUUUAAGACGGAAUGAUCUAACGGAGAAGCAGCAGCGUGAGCCAUUUUGGCAGACGAAAUCGGCAGAGGAUAACUUUCCACUCCCCAGCAAUACAGGAAAGUUACCCUCUCCCUGCUCAGACCCUGACAAUGGUCUCAGUCCGUAGCAGCCAAAGGACCACAGCUCUGAAGAAAAGAAGAUCGCUAAGCACAGCAUCCCUUCCUGAAUGUUCCCAAGCCCAUGUCCAAGGCAUCUCUUCAGCCACAAAGUGCGAGCCGCCAUGAACGAGGGGCUUGCUGUGGCUCAGAUGUGGAUAUUCUUUGUUCAAAAUCAAACCUUUCACACGGUCCCCAUUUCAUGGCUGUACAAUUUCUGGCUGCGGUGCUGUCUCUAAUCAAACACCGUUCCAGGAGGUCCACAAGGAGGUAUCCUUGCCUGUCUUGAGAUGAGCACCUUGGCUUGCUGGGAGCAUAUGCAGAUCUUGGACAGAAUGCUGCUUCAGAGUUCUUAAGCAUCUGGACUCAAGUUUCAAAUUACUUAUAAAUAUCUUCAAAUGUUCUCAGGACUUCUCUCUUCCGAAUACUGACAUCUUAUUCUAUGACUCACAAAUAAUGUAUCCAUAGGUAAAUAUAAAAAAAGAUAUGCUGAUUUUGAUUAAGCAUGUGACUGGGGUCAGUAAAGACGAGAAUCUUUGACAUGGACUUUAACUCCUGUUGGGGAUUCACUGUACACCUACUUUUGGUUUGUAAGAGAUUUUUCUAAAAGCUC